AAUAAUUAUGGAAGCAAGGUCUGAAGCAGCUAGUGAUGAGCUGCAGGGGGUGGGGAGGAGGUUUCAGGGCCAGACGGUCUUUACAUAGACACACUUUCGGCCUGGGUAUCAGGCAGACAGAGCUCCAUUGCCCACAUCAUCCGUUUUGGCUGGUGCUGGGUUACAAAUGACUUUAGAACACAGGGGACUGAAAUAUUUUUAUCCUGAUUGUAAGAGGAACGGGCAGCAGAACAGUGCUUAGCCGGCCCUGGCUGACGGGGUCCCCAUCCGCCGAACUGAGCUCACAAAGCAGGGGGUCGGAUGCCAGAGCCAAGUGUUGAGGGAGAAGGGACAGGGCUGGGCCAGGCCAGUUUAAAGAUAGAGGUACCUAGACUCCAUCAGGUCCACGGGCUGCUUAGAUCUGUUGUGGGGCAGCAUUUCUGUGGAAGAGGCGGCUCGGCCUGCACUAGCGGUGAGGAUCCCCCACUGAGGUCACAGUAGAGAGGCAGGAGGCAGCAGAAGGGGACGGCACAGGGCCGGCGGCGACGGAGCAGAUGGCACAGUGUGGUGAACGGUGACACGAACAACAGCAGCAGAGUGAACGACACGCAGCAGCAGCAGCAGGCAGUGAAGGCAUUGCUCAAUUCCCCCCCCCCCCCCCCGUGUGAACGCAUGUGAAGGCACCGCUGGGCUCUGGGUCUCCACAGACCAAGGACAGCAGCUUGCUGCAACCUCUGCUCGGAUCUUCUCCCAAUCUGCUUGGUUCUGGGACACUGCAAACAGAAAUGGCCUUGGGAUCAGGAGAGGGGAAAGGUUGCCACAACCAGGCUGGUGUCCUGAGUGGCCAUGUGCAGCGUGAGGAGCCCGCCUGUAACGCUAGGGGAUGGCAGCAACUGCCUGUCUCCAUGGAGAGGAAUACGUUGGUAAUGGAGGGUUUGCUGCUGACUGCCAGCUGGAUCUGUAUGUAAGCAGAGUCUGAAUGAGCUCUCCCCU